UUGGAGGGCAAGUCUGGUGCCAGCAGCCGCGGUAAUUCCAGCUCCAAUAGCGUAUAUUAAAGUUGUUGCAGUUAAAAAGCUCGUAGUUGAAUUUCGGGGUCAGUAGGUUGGUCAUGCCACUGGUAUGUACUGGCCUCACUGAUUCCUCCUUCCUGAUGAGCCAUAAUGCCACUAAUUUGGUGUUGCGAGGAAUCUGGACUGUUACUUUGAAAAAAUUAGAGUGUCUAAAGCAGGCUAACGCUUGAAUACAUUAGCAUGGAAUAAUGAAAUAGGACGUUCGAUCUUAUUUUGUUGGUUUCUAAGAUUGACGUAAUGAUUAAUAGGGAUAGUUGGGGGCAUUAGUAUUCAAUUGUCAGAGGCGAAAUUCUUGGAUUUAUUGAAGACUAACUACUGCGAAAGCAUUUGCCAAGGAUGUUUUCAUUAAUCAAGAACGAAAGUUAGGGGAUCGAAGACGAUCAGAUACCGUCGUAGUCUUAACCAUAAACUAUGCCGACUAGGGAUCGGAUGAUGUUAAUUUUUUAAUGACUCAUUCGGCGCCUUACGGGAAACCAAAGUGUUUGGGUUC
rnacentral:rRNA from 1 species